rnacentral:rRNA from 1 species
UACGUAGGGCGCAAGCGUUGUCCGGAAUUAUUGGGCGUAAAGAGCUCGUAGGCGGCUUGUCACGUCGGGUGUGAAAGCCCGGGGCUUAACCUGGGAACUGCAUUUGUGACUGCAUCGCUGGAGUGCGGCAGAGGGGGAUGGAAUUCCGCGUGUAGCAGUGAAAUGCGCAGAUAUCAGGAGGAACACCGGUGGCGAAGGCGGGUCUCUGGGCCGUAACUGACGCUGAGGAGCGAAAGCGUGGGGAGCGAACAGG